AAAAAAAAAAAAAAAAAACCCAAUAUGAAUAUACGAGGAACUUAAGUUUACACCAAUGUGACAUCAACGCAAACACAGAGAUAGCUAUAUAAUGGUCUAUCUUCAGUCUUCAACAGUAGACAAAACUCGUAAAGCAUAUAAUAAAAAAAAAAACUUAUUCAACUUAAAACUUAACCUGACCCAAACCACAUCGGAAAGAAUGCAAUAUAUGUUAUCUAGAUAGGGAAACUGAUCAUACAGGAAACCUUCAGAUUAGAAAUUAAUAUAAGGUGGUUAGGGAAUGGUAAUUGUUACG
rnacentral:lncRNA from 1 species